UCGUUGCUGGCAUGGCUGCCAUGGCUACCAACAGAGACCAACCUGUCCAUGUACUCUGCUAAGCUAACGGCUAGCAGCAAGCAAAGAGUCUUUAAACCGUCUCUGCAACAAGCCCUUCUUUGAUGGGGACCUUUCUGGCUGUACAUCCGGGUUUCCUGUCCUGUUUUGGAUGCUAGAGUUCAAUGCUUCACUUCAGCAAGUUGAUGUUGAACAUGCAUGACAUGUGUGUAAACCGAAGACGCAGGUCUUGGCCCGUCCUGAACGUUGCUGUCCAUCAAAUGCUUUUCAGCAAGCCUCCCGAGUUUGAUAUCUGCUGCAGAGGCCGAACAGAAUCCAGACUGGCAACACGAGCCAUCCGGAGAAAAGAAGGAAUUGUGUUACAGGUCCGUUAACCCCCUCGUAAAGAGAGAAAUGUUUGAUCACCGGGGAACGAGCACACAGGGAUGUUUAACCAGGCGAAUGGAGUGCCUCCUCCUCCUCCUGGGCCGCCAACAAACCGCUGGCUGGGAGAGCGGCCAGGAAGAGAGACAAGAAAGUCAGUCUGAAUGUCAGCUGGCUGGGCUCCGGCUGCAGCGACGCCAUCUCCCAACACACACA